rnacentral:lncRNA from 1 species
AAAAAAGAAAGAAGACGAAAUUUCAAAGGUGCUGAGAAAAGCCCAGGGCUCACAGCUGGUUUCAGCAACUUCAACUUGCGUAAGACCCCAUGUUUGUGAAAACAACCCAAGAAUCUUUGAACAGGAUGUAAUCAACCUCCGAUCUGCUGAGAAAUACUGCAAAAAUGACUUCAGCUGCCAAAAAUAAUAAUGUCGUUUACAAGCAGCUCUUCCUAUGUCUAAGGAAGAACUAGUCACACAUGCGAGUUUUUGCUGGCUUGAGGAGAACAAGCAAGGAAAAAGACAAAUUCCACCUACCCUAGCCUAAAAUACACAGUGAGUCUCAGAACCCCGCGGAAGCUGUGGCUCAUUUCUAAAGGUGCUGGCAAUAUCGAGGAAGACUUGCAUCCACAAAAUUCCAAAUGGUUAAAUGAUCAAGUCAUUAUUGGGAAUUUGGAUCUAAGUGACCUGGCAGAAACCAUGGAGAUGAUCUUGCCAUGUUUACACUGCAUCCACAGAUUGUGAUACUGUUUAUGAAGGAGAGAAAAAGUCCUUCCAUUUAUUCUUGUUCUUAAUGAAAAUUUCUGAGCUGUUAUGCUUUGAAAUUACAAUGAUAAAGUGGCUCUUUGAGAAUAAAAGAUUCAAUAUAUUACAAUUGAGAAUAAAAGAUUUAAUAUAUUACAAAGCCAGCUUGUAUAUUGGACAGUGAGGUAGGAAAGAAAUCCAUUCCGAAGUGGCAGAGAAGCUGCUUUUUCCUCCUGCAUGCUGCCUGCUAGUGUGGAUCUUGGCAUAACAGACACUACUUGACAAAAGGUAAGUGUACCAAAGUAAAAACUAUACUCUUGGUGAAUUCAUUCAUUCCUAAUAAAGACUUAGGUCUCUUUUCCUGCAAAUAUUGUCACUAAGUGAGUAUGAAGAGGUGCCUUCUUAUUUUUGGACAUCAUGGGAGGUGGGAUUAGGGAGCAAGAGGUGAGAAUGGGUGACUAUCACCACUCUUGUUGCUAAGGGCCAGAUUGGUUCAUCUCUGCCUCUUCUGUGCAUGUAAAUAAAUGCAGUUCCCUGGGAGCCUAUGUUAGGUUCAGGGCCAAAAAAUU